GCUAAAAAUCUAGCUCCACCCCUCACAUGCACCACUCUUCCUAGCCUUAAAAACUAAAACAUUUUUACACUUUAGUAAAGGAGAUUGAAAAACUUAAUGAAGCAAUAAACUUAGUACCGCAAGGGAAAGAUGAAAUAAUAAUGAAACACUCUUAAGCAAAAAAAAGUAGAGCCUAACCCUCGUACCUUUUGCAUCAUGGUCCAACUAGUCUAAUCAAGCAAAAAGUAUUGCAGUUUGACCUCCCGAAACUAAGUGAGCUACUUCAGGGCAGCUUAUUGAGCUAACCCGUCUCUGUUGCAAAAGAGUGGGAAGACCCUCAAGUAGCGGCGACAUACCUAACGAACUUAGUGAUAGCUGGUUACUCAAGAAAAGAAUUUUAGUCCAGCCUAAAGCUUCCCCCUUUUUCACUAAAAACCCCCUUUUAGCUUUAGAGUAAUUCAAAUAAGGUACAGCCUAUUUGAAACAGGAUACAACCUCAACUGACGGGUAAAAUACUUCCAUAACUUUCCUAGUGGGCCUAAGAGCAGCCAUCUUCUUAAAAGCGUCACAGCUUAGUCUUACAAAUUCACCUAAUCCCCAACUCAAACCUCAACCCUCUCCCUCUACUGAGUAAUUCUAUACCCCCUAUAGAAAAUUUUAUGUUGAAACUAGUAACAAGAAGAAUGACCUUCUCUUUAAUGCAAGCAUAAAUCAGAAUGGACAAACCACUGAUAAUUAACGCCCAUGAACGAACAUUAGCAACUCUCAUCAAGAAAAACCUAAUUACACCUCACGUUAACCUAACACAAGAGCAUUCCAAGAAAGAUUAAUAGAAAAAGAAGGAACUCGGCAAAUUUUAACCCCGCCUGUUUACCAAAAACAUCGCCUCUUGAAUUUUAUAAGAGGUCCAGCCUGCCCAGUGACCAUAGUUCAACGGCCGCGGUAUCCUGACCGUGCGAAGGUAGCGUAAUCACUUGUUCUUUAAAUGGGGACUAGUAUGAAUGGCAUCACGAGGGUUAUACUGUCUCCUUUUUCCAAUCAGUGAAACUAAUCUCCCCGUGAAGAAGCGGGGAUAAAACCAUAAGACGAGAAGACCCUAUGGAGCUUUAAAUUUCCCUUUAAGUGCCGGCCUAUUUACUAAGUCACAGACCCCCUUAUAUUUACCCCCGCACCAUGAAGAUGACUUUUAGGUUGGGGUGACCGCGGAGUACAAAAGAACCUCCACGUUGAACCAGGCUCCCAAGCCCUGAGCAAAGGACUACAACCCGAUGCACUAAAAAACUAACAUCCAUUGACCCAAUACUCUUGAUCAACGAACCAAGUUACCCUAGGGAUAACAGCGCAAUCUACUUUAAGAGUCCAUAUCGACAAGUAGGUUUACGACCUCGAUGUUGGAUCAGGGUAUCCCAGUGGUGCAGCCGCUACUAAUGGUUCGUUUGUUCAACGAUUAAAACCCU
rnacentral:rRNA from 1 species